UACGGAGGGGGUUAGCGUUGUUCGGAAUUACUGGGCGUAAAGCGCGCGUAGGCGGCUUUGUAAGUUAGAGGUGAAAGCCCGGAGCUCAACUCCGGAACUGCCUUUAAGACUGCAUCGCUAGAAUUGUGGAGAGGUGAGUGGAAUUCCGAGUGUAGAGGUGAAAUUCGUAGAUAUGCGCAAGAACACCAGUGGCGAAGGCGGCUCACUGGCCCGGUACUGACGCUGAGGUGCGAAAGCGUGGGGAGCAAACAGG
rnacentral:rRNA from 1 species